AAACACAACAUUUUUGUGAAAAGGAGUGAAAACUUCAGCUAAAGUGUAUCAUAUUCAGUCUUGGAUCAUGUUAUGAAAGCUCUUAAGCUCUUCUUACUUUACUAAAAAUAUACCGUGGACUUUUCAGCAGUAUUCUGCAGCUGAUCACAAGUCACGAACUACCCAAGCCUGGCAUGAAACCAACGUUCCGGACUUUAUAAGAGCUAAAGACUGGCCCUCAUCUAGCAUAGGCCUCAACCCCUUAGACGUCAAAUUAUGCAACCCUCCAUGCUUACUGAGCUGGUCUUUCAAGGCCUCAUACGUGAUAGCUCCUCUGCCUUCAAGGUCAGCAUCGCAAAACAUGGCCUCCGUCAGCUCACAGAGUUGUUCCUCGCUGAAGUGCAUCCCGUUUUCAUGCAUACAAGCUCUCAUCACUUCUUGCAGCUCAUUUUGUUGGAUAAGACCGUCGCCUGAUAUUAAACAUUCAUUUAUA